rnacentral:lncRNA from 1 species
AUAAAACAUACAUAACACACAUAAGAUAUGACAUUAAAUUCAAAGUAAAAGUUGUACUAUUUACACACUUCAUAUUCUUAUAUACAGUACAGUUAAAUGAGAUUUAGAAAGAGGAGAGGCGCUUUGAUACAAUUGGUUGUUUUUAACUGUGUUUUUAAAGCUAAACUUGCUUUAAAAAACAUUAACCUCUGGUGGCAGAGCAUUCCAUGAUGACAUGGCUCUAUAACUGAGUGACGCAUUAAAUCUGUUUUUGGUUUGGGUACAGUGAAGAAACCCAUUGUGGCGUGUCUGGUUGGGUAUAUAUGUCUGAAGUGUAUGCAAAUCUACUGAACAAAAAUAUAAACAACAAUUUCAACGUUUCUCCCCACAAAAGGGCUUUAUUACAGACAAAAUACUCCUCAGCAUCCCCCCCUCCCCCGAUGAUCCGGCAGAUGAAGAAGCUGUCUGUUGAGGUCCUAGGUUGGCGUGGUUACACGUGGUCUGCGGUUGUGAGACUGGUUGGACGUACUAACAAAUUCUCUAAAACGACAGAGGCAGCUUAUGGUAGAGAAAUUAACAUUUUCUGGAAACAGUUCUGGUGGACAUUCCUGCAGUCAGCGUGCCAAUUGCACACUCCCUCAACUUUAGACAUCUGUGGCAUUGUUUGCGUGACAAAGCAACACAUUUUAGAGUGGCCGUUUAUUGUCCCCCAGCACAAGGUGCACCUGUGUAAUGAUCAUGCUCUUUAAUCAGCUUCUUGAUAUGCCACACCUGUCAGGUGGAUGGAUUAUCUUGACAAAGAAUAAAAUGCUCACUAACAUGGAUGUAAACAAAUUUGUGAGAAAUAAGCCUUUUGUGUGUAUGGAGCAUUUCUGUAAUCUUAUUUCCAGCACAUGUUGCAUUUGUAUUUUUGUUCUAUAUAUAUAUAUAUAUAUAUAUAAUAUCAAUCAAAAUGUCUUACCUGCAUGUGACUCUGUAGGAGGAUUUGGAAAAAGUCACGUUUUGGUGCUUCGGAAAAAGACAUGUCCUCUUUAAAACUGCUUUAGGACUGUUCGAAAUUUACUGGGGUUGGAGUGCUUGUCCAAAAUAGUGAAUUUUAUGUUCAACAUUUUGCAGGUUUUUCUAUAUAAUGUCUUCCAUAUAGCCACAUUUCCUCAUCUGCUUGCAUGCACCUCCCCUAUAAAGAUGUUUUGGUACCUCCCUUAUGCACUACUCUUUACCAGUCAAUUAUCUAUCCUGUCCUCUAUCCAUAGUGACAAUAGUGGUAGGUGGAUCGUUUCUCCAGAUCUGCAGGAUGCAAACUAGCAUCAAAAUGUUGAAAAUCUCAUUUCCUCCUAGCUGAUCAUUGCCUUUAGCCGGCUCUGAUUGUAGUGUAAUCAAAUCAAACUUUAUUUGUCACAUGCACCGAAUACAACAAGUGUGGACCUUACUGUGAAAUGCUUACUACAAGCCCUUAACCAAAAAUAACAAUGAUAAUAAAAAGUAACACAAUAACAUAACAAUAACGAGGCUAUAUACAGGGGGUACCGGUGCCGAGUCAGUGAGCGGGGGUACAGGUUAGUGGAGGUAAUUUGUACAUGAGGCAGGCAGGGAGAGUGAGCUUGACCGUAGGGGUCAGCAAACCCUCAACCUACUGGCCCGUUAGCCCUGCAUGGCAUUGACUAUGCCACAAAACUAUGCUGAAGCGGUGAAGUCAAUAUCCACAUAUAUAAACACAGGGUUCUUACAGUUGUUAUUUAUGGUAGUACAUUUUUGUUGAGGCUGGUGUUUAUAUAAUUUUACAGUACAAGGAGGGUUUUUAACGUUGGAGAGAGGGAUACAUUUAUUUUAUGACACCUCGACUUGGACCAGCACCACUGGUACAUAGAUGUCUGUUGCUAGGCCUGUUAGGCCUCUCUGUUAGGCCUCACCUGUUAGGCCUCUCUGAAAUGUUGUUUUCUCUUUAAUGUCUACUUAUGGGCAGACAGCCCAGAGGUUCGAAGACCUGCAGCAUUCCUGUGGAUAUACUUUUUGGUUUGAAGCAUUACCACCAUUCAUGACACCAGCUAUUCUGUUGUUGUUAUACAGUAUUAUACAUUUUCUGUUUUGUCUGAGAUUUUAUGUUUGUCUUUCUGAUGUUCAUGGCUGCUACUUUCAAAGAUUGACCUGAUGCCACAGACCAGCCAUCAAUGGAUGGUCCCUCGGAGAAUAUCAUGAAACGUGGUUUUUAUGUUGAAUCAUAACCGCCUAUUAAUAAAUCAUGACUCACCGUUUAACGUGUUCUAGAACUAUUUUGAUUGUUACCAACAUGUUCCUGUUGAAGAGCCAUGUAGAGGGUUAGAUCAUUGAGGUUUCUGCAUUAUAUCAACCCAGAGCAUAUCGGAUUGCUUUUCUCCACCAUAUCUCCCGAUUCCUGUCGCAAGCUCUAAACCUUUACUCUGGAUCAUCGCAGUUAGCUAGCUGCUAUCCGAGUGGCUACUCCUGGCUAACGUCUCUGUCCCGAAGCAAGCACCAGUUAGCCUGGAGCUAGCCUCGAGCUAGGCCCAUUCUCCCGGCUAGCCGAAGAGAUCUAUCAAGCAAUUCCUGGGCUUCAAUUGCCUCUUUUUCCAGUUGGCCUGGACCCUUUUCUGUCGACACGGAACCCCGCCAAUCUAUCACGACUGGUCUACCGACGUAACCGUCCGAGGGGGUUUCUGUCCCGAAGCAAGCACCAGUUAGCCUGGAGUUAGCCUCGAACUAGGCCCAUCUUCCAGCUAGCUGAAGAAAUCCAUCAGAUAAUCGCUGGGCUUCAAUACCUAUUUGCCAAUUGGCCUGAACCCUUUGCUGCCGAAACGGGGCCCCGUUAGGACAUCUACUUUGUGCAUGACACAAGAGGAUCAGUGUCUAUUAUAGCUUCCUGGAGCCUGGGGGUAAGACCAUGGUACUCCAGACUGGCACCAGGCCACAGGCUCUGAAGACAGUGAAGCUCAAAAGCUUCCUGUGUGAUAUUAAAUGCCUAGGGCACAUGGUCUGUAUCUUUAUGGAGGUCACAACUGGAUGUAUGCUACGCUACACCUCUGCAGAUGGACUCGGCCACGAGCCUGGGAGACACAAGGCCAUCCUACUGGUCAUCAUCAGUGUUGCCAUUUUCUG